AGUUUUGAUGUUGUCAAUUCAUUCAAUUUAUUGGUAACUUCAUCCUCGAGCACAGUAGACUCAACUAGCUUCUUCUUUACUAUCGGAAAUGUCGUCUCCUUGUAAUAAGUCAGAGGUGGUAUAGAUGGAUAGAGAUUUUGCUUUCCAACUGCAUAUUAGAGAAGAACUUCAUACAUAUCAGUGACUAAGGAAUUUCAAAUUCAGCUGAAAUAUAUUGUUGAAAUUCUAGGCAAAAGGUAGGAACAUUACAUCCACCACAGGUCAAGUUUUAGCCAAUAAAAAACUACUCAGACAAGAUCUGAAAAAACUUACAUGCAAGAUGUAUCUGACUCUUUUGAGUACAUAAAAGCAAUAUAGAUUAGAUCACUUUAGUAGCCAAAAACUUACACCCACAAUCUCAAAUGCAUUAGGACACUUAAAUGCUAGGCGAUUCAACCAAAUAUUCUGAAAUAUUGAAUUUUUUU